rnacentral:snoRNA from 1 species
CACUCCUGUUUCUGCCCCGUGUUCUGCGUACGCGAUAGAACACGCUGGUUCUGAUGAUGGAGGAGAGCAGGCCCGCUGGCGGCCGCCGCCGACUUGAUACUUCGGCGGACGGCGGCCGGCGGGAUCGUUCCGGGCACAGGCUCCCGUCUGCCGGCCUCCAUGCCGCAGGCGACGCCGGUCCCGGAUACAUAU